AGUGAACGCUGGCGGCAGGCCUAACACAUGCAAGUCGAACGGCAGCACAGGAGAGCUUGCUCUCUGGGUGGCGAGUGGCGGACGGGUGAGGAAUAUAUCGGAAUCUACCCUUUCGUGGGGGAUAACGUGGGGAAACUUACGCUAAUACCGCAUACGAACUGAGGUUGAAAGCGGCGGACCGCAAGGCGUCGCGCGGAUGGAUGAGCCGAUAUCCGAUUAGCUAGUUGGCGGGGUAAAGGACCACCAAGGCGACGAUCGGUAGCUGGUCUGAGAGGAUGAUCAGCCACACUGGAACUGAGACACGGUCCAGACUCCUACGGGAGGCAGCAGUGGGGAAUAUUGGACAAUGGGCGCAAGCCUGAUCCAGCCAUGCCGCGUGUGUGAAGAAGGCCUUCGGGUUGUAAAGCACUUUUGUUGGGAAAGAAAAGCGGUCGGUUAACACCCGGUCGUUCUGACGGUACCCAAAGAAUAAGCACCGGCUAACUUCGUGCCAGCCGCCGCGGUAAGAC
rnacentral:rRNA from 1 species